rnacentral:tRNA from 2 species
CGGAUGUAGCCAAGUGGAUCAAGGCAGUGGAUUUGUGAAUCCC